rnacentral:rRNA from 1 species
CCCUUAGAUGUCCUGGGCCGCACGCGUGCUACACUGACGCAUACAGCGAGCACUUUCCAGUUCCGAGAGGCUACUGGUAAUCAUCAAUAUGCGUCGUGAUGGGGAUAGAUCUUUGGAAUUCUGGAUCUUGAACGAGGAAUGCCUAGUAAUCGCAGGUCAUUAGCCUGCGAUGAUUAAGUCCCUGCCCUUUGUACACACCGCCCGUCGCUACUACCGAUUUCGAGUGGUCAGGUGAAUCUUUCGGACGGUGGGCGUCCUUGAGGUGUUCGCGGAAAGUCAGGUAAAUCUUAUCACUUAGAGGAAGUAAAAGUCGUAACA